rnacentral:rRNA from 1 species
GACGAACGCUGGCGGCGUGCUUAACACAUGCAAGUCGAACGGAAAGGCCCUGCUUUUGUGGGGUGCUCGAGUGGCGAACGGGUGAGUAACACGUGAGUAACCUGCCCUUGACUUUGGGAUAACUUCAGGAAACUGGGGCUAAUACCGGAUAGGAGCUCCUGCUGCAUGGUGGGGGUUGGAAAGUUUCGGCGGUUGGGGAUGGACUGGCGGCUUAUCAGCUUGUUGGUGGGGUGGUGGCUUACCAAGGCUUUGACGGGUAGCCGGCCUGAGAGGGUGACAGGCCACAUUGGGACUGAGAUGCGGCCCAGACUCAUACGGGAGGCAGCAGUGGGGAAUAGUGCACAAUGGGCGGAAGCCUGAUGCAGCAACGCCGCGUGCGGGAUGACGGCCUUCGGGUUGGAAACCGCUUUCGCCUGUGACGAAGCGUGAGUGACGGUAAUGGGUAAAGAAGCACCGGCUAACUACGUG